UAACACAUGCAAGUCGAGCGGGCAUAGCAAUAUGUCAGCGGCAGACGGGUGAGUAACGCGUGGGAACGUACCUUUCACUACGGAAUAGCUCUUGGAAACGAGUGGUAAUACCGUAUACGCCCUUCGGGGGAAAGAUUUAUCGGUGAAAGAUCGGCCCGCGUUAGAUUAGCUAGUUGGUAGGGUAAUGGCCUACCAAGGCGACGAUCCAUAGCUGGUCUGAGAG
rnacentral:rRNA from 14 species